GAUCAUGGCUCAGGAUGAACGCUAGCUACAGGCUUAACACAUGCAAGUCGAGGGGAAACGACAUCGAAAGCUUGCUUUUGAUGGGCGUCGACCGGCGCACGGGUGAGUAACGCGUAUCCAACCUGCCCAUCACUUGGGAAUAACCUUGCGAAAGUAAGACUAAUGCCCAAUGAUAUCCCUACGAAGGCAUCCGAAUGGGAUAAAGAUUUAUCGGUGAUGGAUGGGGAUCGU
rnacentral:rRNA from 1 species